UUGGAGGGCAAGUCCGGUGCCCCCGCCGCGGUAAUUCCAGCUCCAAUAGCGUAUAUUAAAGUUGUUGCAGUUAAAAAGCUCGUAGUUGAAUUCCGGGAUCAAUAUUUCGGUCAUGCCGUUGGUAUGCACUGUUAUCAUUGAUUUCUCACCUUCUAAAGAACCGUAAUGCCAUUAAUUUGGUGUUACGGGGAAUUAGGACUGUUACCUUGAAAAAAUUAGAGUGUUUAAAGCAGGC
rnacentral:rRNA from 1 species